UGCCAGCCGCCGCGGUAAUACGGAGGGUGCAAGCGUUGCUCGGAAUUAUUGGGCGUAAAGGGGAGGUAGGUGGUCUCGUUUGUCUGGGGUGAAAGCCCGGAGCUCAACUCCGGAAGUGCCUCGGAAACGGCGAGACUAGAGUCCUGGAGGGGGUCGUGGAAUUCCCGGUGUAGCGGUGAAAUGCGUAGAGAUCGGGAGGAACACCAGAGGCGAAGGCGGCGACCUGGCCCAAUAUUGACGCUGAGGUGCGAAAGCGUGGGUAGCGAACAGGAUUAGAUA
rnacentral:rRNA from 1 species